GGCCUCGGCGUCGGGCACGCCCGUAUCCUUGGCGUAGUUCACCAGCAGGAUGGCAGGCACGAAGCGCCCGAGUGCCAUGAAGAACUUAGUGACCACGUACACGGCGAAGGAGAGCAUUGGGCACCCUCACCUGUGAGCACCCCAGCCGUCAGGUACAGCUCCAGGAGGCGCGUGGCAAAGGAAGCCAGGAUCAUGCCUGCCGAAGCCAGCAGCCCACCGGCCAGCAUCACCCGGCGACAGCCAAAGCGAGCCACGAGGAUGCUAGACACAGGGCCUGUGAGCAAACAGGGUCACCAUCGGGCUGGGCAGGGCUCCCCUCCAGAGGAAGCACCAGGCCUUGCACACCAGAGGGCUGAAAGAGGACUUGAAUGGGAUGUCGUUCCCAACACCACUGUUUCAAAGACAAAGACCGCAGUGUCUGACCAAGGUCACAUAGCUUGACUGGACAGACAGGGAGGGGGAAGCCUGUGUGUUGGGGGAGGGGCAUAUAUCUUUGCCAUCCAUCCUUUACCCCUCUUGAGAACCCAGAACCUAAAUAGAAAAGGUGGUUUCGGCUCUUUACUCUGCAUCCUGAUGCAGCCUGCCUGACAGCCAGGCUACCAUCCUCUGGAAGGCUCCCACAACCUCCCACCCUGCUGCUGCCCUCCCCAGGGCAAGAACUCCCCCAUUAGGGCUCGGGGGAGCUGGAAUGAUUCUCCACUGGCAGUGUGGUCAGGAGUAGUCCACUGGCAGUGUGGUCGGGAGUAGGUCUAUUGUCAAAAAUGGACCCCAAGCCUUUCUGUGCCAGUGGUAUAUACCCAGAUCCAUCUCUGGUCUCUGUCCUUUUCUGGCUCUUUUUAGUCUUUCUAGGGCCAGGGUUUGCAAAUAGUGCAGGGAUGACUCUCUAGGCUGCAGAUCCCCACCCCAUGCUGGGCCCCAGGGAGGUGGACUGAGAGGGUGCUGACCCGUGCCAUAUAAAAUAGCCAGCAUGAUGGAGGAGACCCAGGCUGUGUCACUGUAGCCAGCACCAAAGUCUUGCUUGAGUUCUUUGAAGAAAACGCUCACAGCCUUGGGGAAUCCGUAGGCGAAGCCCGUGACCAUGAAGCAGGCGCCCAGCACCACCCAACCCCAGCCACCAUCUGGGGGUCCUGCACCCUGCCUUCGGCUGCCAGCAUCCAUCACACUGCCUCUGCUGGAGAAAAAGAAGACUGGAAGAUACUAGCAGUUUCCACCUGAGACUUGGCCUGGAGUUUUCCUCACCAGGUAUCUUCUCCCCCUGAGACCUAGUGAUGGCAGGGUGCAGUGAGUGGCAGAGCCCAGCAGCCACCGAGUUCCCAGAGGUCCCCAUGAGUAUAUAAGGGUUUGUGGACAAAUGAGUAAAACACCCAGCAAGAUAGAUGCCAGCUGCCGAAUGGCCCUACAGUGUGUUCCUAAUUUUCCUGACGAUCAAGAAUAAUUGUCAGGGCUGGAAAGAUGGCUCAGCAAUUA